UUCACUGUUUACCGAAAACUUUAAACUACAACUCAUCAGUCUUUUGCAGAGAUAGACUUAUGUAAAGCUGAAAAAGAAAUCUGCA
ncrna:unclassified sequences RAGATH-27 RNA